rfam:Candidatus Nasuia deltocephalinicola str. NAS-ALF, complete genome.
UCCCUAAUAGCUCAGAAGGUAGAGCAAUGGAUUGUUAAUCCAUCGGUCCCUGGUUCAACCCCAGGUUAGGGAG